rnacentral:rRNA from 1 species
GACGUAGGGGGCCAGCGUUGUUCGGAAUUACUGGGUGUAAAGGGUUCGUAGGCGGUGUGGCAAGUUGGGAGUGAAAUCUCUGGGCUCAACCCAGAGGCUGCUUCCAAAACUGCUGUGCUUGAGUGUGGGAGAGGCGCGUGGAAUUGCAGGUGUAGCGGUGAAAUGCGUAGAUAUCUGCAGGAACACCCGUGGCGAAGGCGGCUGACUGGAUCGCAACUGACACUGAGGAACGAAAGCUAGGGGAGCAAACAGG